rnacentral:rRNA from 1 species
UAAUACGUAGGGUGCAAGCGUUGUCCGGAUUUAUUGGGCGUAAAGAGCUCGUAGGCGGUUCGGCACGUCGGAUGUGAAAACUCGGGGCUUAACUCCGAGCCUGCAUUCGAUACGGCCGGACUCGAGUGUGGUAGGGGAGACUGGAAUUCCUGGUGUAGCGGUGGAAUGCGCAGAUAUCAGGAGGAACACCGAUGGCGAAGGCAGGUCUCUGGGCCAUUACUGACGCUGAGGAGCGAAAGCGUGGGGAGCGAACAGGAUUAGAUACCCUGGUAGUCCACGCCGUAAACGGUGGGCGCUAGUUGUGGGGAACUUUCCAUGUUCUCUGCGACGCAGCUAACGCAUUAAGCGCCCCGCCUGGGGAGUACGGCCGCAAGGCUAAAACUCAAAGGAAUUGACGGGGGCCCGCACAAGCGGCGGAGCAUGCGGCUUAAUUCGAUGCAACGCGAAGAACCUUACCUGGGCUUGACAUCAGAUCUAAAGCUGCAGAGAUGCAGUGUCCGC